GUGCCAGCCGCCGCGGUAAUACCGGCAGCCCGAGUGAUGGCCGAUCUUAUUGGGCCUAAAGCGUCCGUAGCUGGCCGCGCAAGUCCAUCGGGAAAUCCACCUGCUCAACAGGUGGGCGCCCGGUGGAAACUGUGCGGCUUGGGACCGGAAGGCGCGACGGGUACGUCCGGGGUAGGAGUGAAAUCCCGUAAUCCUGGACGGACCGCCGAUGGCGAAAGCACGUCGCGAGAACGGAUCCGACAGUGAGGGACGAAAGCCAGGGUCUCGAACCGGAUUAGAAACCCGGGUAGUCC
rnacentral:rRNA from 1 species